rnacentral:rRNA from 1 species
AGAGUUUGAUCAUGGCUCAGGUUGAACGCUGGCGGUAUGCUUAACACAUGCAAGUCGAACGGUAGCAGCAUCUAGCUUGCUAGAUGGCUGACGAGUGGCGGACGGGUGAGUAACGCGUAGGGAUCUGUCUAGGUGAGCGGGACAACACGGGGAAACUCGUGCUAAUACCGCAUACGUUCUACGGAAGAAAGGGUGGUAGCAAUACCAUUCGCACUUAGGUGAACCUGCGUUGGAUUAGCUUGUUGGUGGGGUAAAGGCCUACCAAGGCGACGAUCCAUAGCUGUUCUGAGAGGAAGAUCAGCCACACUGGGACUGAGACACGGCCCAGACUCCUACGGGAGGCAGCAGUGGGGAAUAUUGGACAAUGGGCGCAAGCCUGAUCCAGCAAUACCGCGUGUGUGAAGAAGGCCUGAGGGUUGUAAAGCACUUUCAGCGGGGAGGAAGGGUAAUAUGUUAAUAGUAUAUUAUUUUGACGUUACCCGCAGAAGAAGCACCGGCUAACUCUGUGCCAGCAGCCGCGGUAAUACAGAGGGUGCAAGCGUUAAUCGGAAUUACUGGGCGUAAAGAGUGCGUAGGCGGAUACUUAAGUCAUAUGUGAAAGCCCCGGGCUUAACCUGGGAAUUGCAUCUGAUACUGGGUAUCUAGAGUAUGGUAGAGGAUAGUGGAAUUUCUGGUGUAGCGGUGAAAUGCGUAGAUAUCAGAAGGAACACCAGUGGCGAAGGCGACUGUCUGGGCCAAUACUGACGCUGAGGUACGAAAGCGUGGGUAGCGAACAGGAUUAGAUACCCUGGUAGUCCACGCCGUAAACGAUGAGAACUAGCUGUUGGUCAUAUUAAAAUGACAAGUAGCGAAGCUAACGCGAUAAGUUCUCCGCCUGGGGAGUACGGCCGCAAGGCUAAGACUCAAAGGAAUUGACGGGGGCCCGCACAAGCGGUGGAGCAUGUGGUUUAAUUCGAUGCAACGCGAAAAACCUUACCUACCCUUGACAUCCUUAGAACCCUGUAGAGAUACGGGGGUGCUUCGGCACUAAGAGACAGGUGCUGCAUGGCUGUCGUCAGCUCGUGUCGUGAGAUGUUGGGUUAAGUCCCGUAACGAGCGCAACCCCUAUACUUAGUUGCUAUUGCGCGAGCAAGCACUUUAAGUAGACUGCCGGUGACAAACCGGAGGAAGGUGGGGAUGAUGUCAAGUCAUCAUGGCCCUUAUGGGUAGGGCUACACACGUGCUACAAUGGGCAGUACAGAGGGCGUUGAAACCGCGAGGUUGAACAAAUCCCAGAAAACUGUUCGUAGUCCGGAUUGGAGUCUGCAACUCGACUCCAUGAAGUUGGAAUCGCUAGUAAUCGCAAAUCAGCAUGUUGCGGUGAAUACGUUCCCGGGCCUUGUACACACCGCCCGUCACACCAUGGGAGUGGGUUGUACCAGAAGUAGGUAGGCUAACCGUAAGGAGGCCGCUUACCACGGUAUGAUUCAUGACUGGGGUGAAGUCGUAACAAGGUAACC